rnacentral:rRNA from 1 species
UACGUAGGGUGCAAGCGUUGUCCGGAAUUAUUGGGCGUAAAGAGCUCGUAGGCGGUCUGUUGCGUCGGCUGUGAAAACCCGGGGCUCAACCCCGGGCCUGCAGCCGAUACGGGCAGACUAGAGUUCGGCAGGGGAGACUGGAAUUCCUGGUGUAGCGGUGAAAUGCGCAGAUAUCAGGAGGAACACCGGUGGCGAAAGGCGGGUCUCUGGGCCGAUACUGACGCUGGAGGAGCGAAAGCGUGGGGAGCGAACAGGAUUAGACUAC